rnacentral:rRNA from 1 species
AGGACGAACGCUGGCGGCGUGCCUAACACAUGCAAGUCGAACGAGGUCCAUGGAGUGGCAACACUUCGGAAGACCUAGUGGCGAACGGGUGAGUAACACGUGAGAAACCUACCCCGGAGACCGGGAUAACUCUUCGAAAGGAGAGCUAAUACCGGAUGCCCCCAUCGGAUCGCAUGAUCUGAUGAGGAAAUGGAUUCCGCUCCGGGCGGGUCUCGCGGCCCAUCAGCUUGUUGGCGAGGUAACGGCUCACCAAGGCAUCGACGGGUAGCUGGUCUGAGAGGACGAUCAGCCACACUGGGACUGAGACACGGCCCAGACUCCUACGGGAGGCAGCAGUGGGGAAUCUUGCGCAAUGGGCGAAAGCCUGACGCAGCAACGCCGCGUGGGGAUGAAGGCCUUCGGGUUGUAAACCCCUUUCGAGUGGGACGAAAUUGACGGUACCACAGAAGAAGCCCGGCUAACUACGUGCCAGCAGCCGCGGU